UACGAAGGGGGCUAGCGUUGCUCGGAAUUACUGGGCGUAAAGCGCACGUAGGCGGCUUUCUAAGUCGGGGGUGAAAUCCUGGAGCUCAACUCCAGAACUGCCUUUGAUACUGGCGAUCUUGAGUUCGGGAGAGGUGAGUGGAACUGCGAGUGUAGAGGUGAAAUUCGUAGAUAUUCGCAAGAACACCAGUGGCGAAGGCGGCUCACUGGCCCGAUACUGACGCUGAGGUGCGAAAGCGUGGGGAGCAAACAGG
rnacentral:rRNA from 1 species